UACGUAGGGACCAAGCGUUGUUCGGAAUUACUGGGCGUAAAGGGCGCGUAGGCGGCCCGUCAAGUCCCGUGUGAAAGCCCCCGGCUCAACCGGGGAACGGCGCGGGAAACUAGCAGGCUUGAGUGCGGGAGAGGAAAGUGGAAUUCCUGGUGUAGCGGUGAAAUGCGUAGAUAUCAGGAGGAACACCGGUGGUGUAGACGGCUUUCUGGACCGUAACUGACGCUGAGACACGAAAGCGUGGGUAGCAAACAGG
rnacentral:rRNA from 1 species